UAGAUUAAAGCCAGUUGAUUAGGGUAUUUAGCUGUUGACUAAAUUUUUAUGGGUUUGAUCCCAUUGAUCUAG
rnacentral:tRNA from 1 species